AUAAGAUCCGAUUAUUUGCUCCUGGUGCAUUAAGAAGGAUGCCGUGUGAGAGGCCUCCUUCCAUGGGGGCAGCUCUCUAUGGGCAGAUCGCGCUUUCAUACUAAGCAUUCCAACACAGUCCUUUCAACUGAAAAGCAGGCAUUGGAUUAUCUUGCAGACUGUGAUAGCCUACCCAAUACAGCUUCCUCCAGAAUUUUUGGAAUACAACUCCCAGGAAUUAUGGUAUUUGGGAAUUCUGGGAGUGAUAGUUCUACUACACGAAGGAGUAGACUCUGGCAUCUUUGAAGAAGUGCCUCCUUGGCUGUCCACACUUUCCAAUCUGAAAAAGCUCAGUGGGAGGAGCUUCCUCUUGGUGCCUUCAUCUGGAGAGCUGGACUGAAAUUUGAGAAGCCAAGGAAGCUGCAAAUUGCCGAAGAGAGGAUUGUAG